AGCUUAUUAGCUCAACUGGACGAGCACCGUGCAACUUGCGUGGAGAUGUAGGUUCAAAUCCUACAUAGGCUA
rfam:Spinacia oleracea cultivar SynViroflay scaffold29897.con0002.1, whole genome shotgun sequence.